rnacentral:lncRNA from 1 species
CAAGUAGGUUUCUUGUCAACUCGUAUCGUCUUCCUCGAGCACCUAACUGCAUUCUGCAUUUGUACAGAAUUUCAAAGGUCACUUGCUGCAGAAUUGGUUUUGCCAGUGUGUUAGUUUUGGAAUAUUGAUUGAUUUCCAAGUAUGUGUACAGGGAUACAUAUAUACAUGCUUGGGUGGCAUGCAAGCCUACCACAAUACGAUUGAAUUAGUCUAACACUCCCCCGCAGUCUAAUCAGAGGCAUCGCUAAUGGUCAGACUGGACCGGAACUCCUGGAACAGCGAGGUAGGAAGACCCUUGGUGAAGACGUCAGCGUACUGUGAUGUCGUGGGAACAUGAAGGACCCGAGCAUGACCAAGUGCAACCUUCUCUCGAACAAAGUGGAGGUCGAUCUCCACAUGUUUCGUCCGCUGAUGCUGUACUGGAUUGCUGGAGAGAUACACUGCACUGACGUUAUCACAAUAGACCAAAGUGGCUCGACGAAGAGGGCGGUGAAGCUCGAACAGUAGCUGUCGUAGCCAGGUGGCUUCAGCUACGCCAUUCGCCACAGCACGAUACUCAGCCUCAGCGCUGGAUCGCGAGACCGUGUGCUGACGCUUGGAGGACCAGGACACCAAGUUGUCACCUAGGAACACUGCGUAGCCAGAAGUGGAGUGUCGAGUGUCCGGGCAUCCAGCCCAGUCUGCAUCCGUGUAGACAACAAGCUCUGUAGGUGACGAGCGGCGCAUGGUCAGACCAAGUGAGAGAGUGCCUCGUAAGUACCGUAAAAUCCGCUUGAGAGCCGCGAGAUGAGGCUCCCUGGGUUCAUGCAUGUAGAGGCACACUUGCUGAACGGCAAAAGCAAUAUCCGGACGGGUGAAGGUCAGAUACUGCAAGGCGCCAGCGAGACUGCGGUACUGCUUGGAAUCAGCGACAGGAGGUCCAUCUGCGGAUAAUUUGGAGUGUACAUCAACAGGGGUGCUGCAAGGCUUGCACUCACUCAUCCCGGCUCGCUCCAAAAUCUCCUGAGAGUACUGUCGCUGAGAGAGAAAUAAACCACCAGUAGAGCGUGUCACUGAAAUACCCAGAAAGUGGUGAAGAGGACCCAUAUCUGUCAUAGCAAACUCAUGCUGGAGAGCCCCAAUAAUCUGCUUCAAAAGGCUGUCAGAAGAAGCAGUGAGAACAAUGUCAUCCACAUAUAGCAACAACAAAGCUGUGUCUGGCCCCCGUCGAUAUAUAAAUAAUGAAGUGUCUGACUUUGCUUCAACAAAACCAAGUGAAAUAAGGUGAGAGGCAAACCGAUGAUGCCAAGCACGCGGAGCCUGCUUCGGACCAUAUAAGGACUUGUUGAGCCGACAGACGAAAUCUGGACAAGAGGAAUCCACAAAGCCUGCAGGCUGAAUGCAGUACACUGUCUCAGUGAGGGUGCCAUGCAAGAACACAUUCUUCACAUCCAGCUGGUGAAUAGGCCAGUCCUGAGAGAGAGCCAGAGAGAGAACCACUCGAACUGUCGCGGGCUUGACCACGGGGCUGAACGUCUCAUCAUAAUCAAUACCAGGCCGCUGUGUGAAACCCCGAAGAACCCAACGAGCCUUGUAGCGAUCCAAAGAACCAUCUGCAAGGAGCUUGUGACGAAAAAUCCACUUGCCGGUGACAAGAUUGACACCAGGAGGCCGUGGCACAAGACUCCAGGUGUCAUUGGCGAGCAAGGCGUCAUACUCAGCUUGCAUUGCGGAGCGCCAAUUUGGAUCGGACAGAGCCCCACGGACAGAGGACGGCAGUGGCGACAUGGGCACAGCGUGGAGGUUGAGGCGAUCCAUAGGCUGUGCGAUGCCGGUCUUGCCGCGCGUGCGCAUGGGAUGCGCGUUGUCGACGGGGGCAAUGGAGACCGGCCGCGUGGCCAUCGUGCGGCCAGUGGUCGUGCUGCUGGUCGACCGGCUUGCCGCGGCCGCGGUGCUGCUGGCAGCAGCCUGCACGCGAGGUGCAGGGGCAGCAGCACCGGCCGGCUGGAUCGACGCGGCGCGCGGCGCCGACUGAGCACUACUGGCAGCAACCCGUGCGUGAGCUACGGGGGCAGCAGGGCUUGUCGGGGCAUGUCCGGCCGUGCCUGGGCCGUGGUGGCCAGGCGUCCCUGCUCCAGGGGACAGGGCGUCGUGCGGCGCCGUGACUGGUGUACCUGCAAGCACAGACCGAACUCCAGGGACUGGAGUGGUGAGAUCUUGUUCGUCAACAAGAAAGUCCAAGGCGGAGGAUGCCAUGGGCGUGGUGGACAUGUCGGCGAAAGGGAAGAAGGAUUCGUCAAAAACAACAUGUCGAGAGGUGAGGAUGCGAUUUGACUCUAGUUCGAGACACCGAUAGCCUUUGUGUUCCGAGGAGUAGCUGAGAAAAACGCAUAGGGAUGAACGGGGUGCAAGUUUGUGGGGUGCUGUGGAUGACAUAUUGGGAUAACAGGCACACCCAAAGACUUUGAGGUGUUCAUAGGAGGGCUGGGUGGAGGACUUUGUAGAUCCACGUCAAGACGACGCAGUCCACCUGGGUCCAUACCGGGCGCUCGGGGAACGCCUCGUCCUCGAGAACAUGGCGGGUGAGGGCGUACUUGCCGAGCACGGUGAGGAACAUCCCGCGCCACUUGGUGUAGGUGUUCGUGGCCGUGUCGAGGAUGAUGGGGAUGAGCGCCUUCACGUUGACGACGGCGGUGGCCUGCGCCCAGAUAGCUUCGUGGGCGGCCUCAUACUCGGUGAGAGCCGCGUUGCGGAGGCGAAGUUCCUCGUCACGGCGUGCCUUGUCGGCGCGUGCAGCAGCCUCGGCGGCCAGGUGACGUUCCUCGGCGGCCGUGGUGGCAGCCACGGCGGCAGCAGCCUCGUCCGUGGCAUCUGCAUCUGCCAUGGCGAGUUAGGGCCGGUAGCGGCGCCCGGCUGAAGAAGCGGCGGGGCAGGCAGGCGGAGGGUGGAUCGGCGACCGUGCUGGUGAGGCAGGGCGGGCGAUCGGGCGCGGCGAUCGGCUCGGCGGCGCUCCAGGCGAGUGGAUCGGCGACGGAAGCGGCGAGCAAGGACCGGCGGCGCGCUAGGGUUGCGGAAGCGGAUCGUAACCGCGUGAUACCAUGUUAGUUUUGGAAUAUUGAUUGAUUUCCAAGUAUGUGUACAGGGAUACAUAUAUACACGCUUGGGUGGCAUGCAAGCCUACCACAAUACGAUUGAAUUAGUCUAACAUAGUGGGGGCUCAAAAGCUAUCGCACAAUACCCAUUUUUCGUUUCAGUCCUUAGGUAGGCUACGGCUACCCUGUGGGGACUGGCCGCUACCAUAUGUGCUGCCGCGCUGCGACGCCACGCAGCAGCACUAAUCUAUCAAACUUAUCUACCUACAACCCUGUUAUUUAUUUAAUAAUUUAACACAAUACUCAUAUAGAUAUAUACUUAUCUUUUUCGGUUGUGAUUUUACUCUAUAAACUUUCACACACACAUAUAUUCAUAUUUUUUUCACUUUGCAUCUUACCUUCAUACAUUGUAUUUAAUAUUAAAAUUAGUAUUUUUCAUUACUUCCUCCCAUACAUGUAUAAGAGGUUUACACGGUGACACCCAUAUAUGUAUAUUAACAAUGAUAGAAUUAGGAGAACUAGGUAGAAACAUAUAUUGGUCUACAUUUGGACAUUUAUGUAUAAUGAACAUGCUAAUAAUUAGAUUAAGGCAUAAGUGUUUACUUGAGGUUAUUUUUCAUAAUGAUACACACCGGUAAUUUAAAUACAAAUGUAGAAGAGUAUUUUAAGUUAUUUUUUAUAAUAACAUGCAUGAGUGAUUUAGAUAAAAAAUUAUGGGGUUAGUUUAGAAUAUUUUUAUAAUGGUAUAUAUGGGUUACUUAGGCCUGGUUUGGUUUCAUUUGCUUAUUUUUAAGCAAGUGUCACAUCAACGUUUAGAUACUAAUUAGGAGUAUUAAACGUAGACUAUUUACAAAAUCCAUUACAUAAGUGGAGGCUAAACGGCGAGACGAAUCUAUUAAGCCUUAUUAUAAAAAAUAACUUUAAAUACUCUUCUACAUUUGUAUUUCAAUUUACCGGUGUGUAUCAUUAUGANNNNNNNNNNNNNNNNNNNNNNNNNNNNNNNNNNNNNNNNNNNNNNNNNNNNNNNNNNNNNNNNNNNNNNNNNNNNNNNNNNNNNNNNNNNNNNNNNNNNGUAUGAGUUUUGUAAUAGCCUACGUUGAAUACUCCUAAUUAGUAUCUAAACAUUGAUGUGACACUUGCUUAAAAAUAAGCAAAGGAACCAAACGCCCCCUUAGAUAUAGAUUUAGAGGUUUACUUUGUAAUAUUUUCAUAAUGAUAGUAGUCGGAUUUAGUGACCGACAGUGCACCAGGGGUUACUCAGGUGGUAGAUUUGUAGACGGGGGAGAUCAUAAGAAUAAGAACUCGAAUGGUAACACAGUGACGCAAGGUUUAGAUAGGUUCGAGCCUUCGGAGAGUAAUACCCUAUGUCCUGUGUUCUGGUGGAUUGUAUUGCUGACCCUAGGUGCGAAGAGUUAACGUGCCCUCGGGGGAUGCCCCUGUCCGCCUUGUAUAGGCUGAUGACCUAGGGUUACAAUCGGAUAGAUCUAAUCCUAGUCGGUUGUUACAUGGAAAGCAAUCUGAGUCGGUUUACAACAAAUAUCCCAUGAUAUUUAUCCCAUGAUAUUUGGGCAGAAUUCGUACGCCCGGCCUCCGGACUUGUGCUCCAUGUAUCUUCAUGCCUUAGCCCGCACGGCGUGGUCAAGCGGGCCCACUUGUCUGGGCCAAUCAGUAUCCUAGUCGCUGGGGAUCCAUGGGUAUCCUUAUCCCUCAAGCUCCUGAGCAAUGUGUGAGUCAAACAGGAGCCUGACGGAUGCGCAACGAAGCUUGUAAUGUACUCGGCUGAAGUUGUGGUAUCGUCAUAGUGAUGGAGAGGCUGUGUAGUGCUCAGAAAAGAAAGAAAAAUUGAAGCUUCCACAACCGUAUGACCAAAUGCGCAUGGCUAUGCGACUAUCGAGCUCCCGGAUGUCUGGCAUCCUGUAUAUUGAAGGGAAGCACAUGGAGGGCGUCGCAACACGCACUCCAUAUGGAGUAGCCCCUGAGUAUUGAAGCGAUUAAAGUAAUCGGUCCAAUGGUCAAGAAUCUGAUGUAUUAUUUUCGUCGUAAAAGCCACGCUGACCUAAAGUAGGCGCCCAGCCCCCGAGCGUAAGGACUGGUGGAGCCAAGGAGGCACACCGUGAGACUUAACGGAAAAUCCGCGGAUUCCGUCCAUCGCUUGCGUCGUAACAGGGAACUCACGAACUUUGUUGCUAGGUUUACGCCGUCAAUGCCUUCAAAAGCCGAAGAGGUGCGGUUUCCUUUUCAGUUCUACUCCACUCACUCCCAAGCGCCGCCACCGCUAAUGCCAUAGCCUCCGCGACAAAGAGCCCUAGGUCACGCCGCCGCGUCCGCAAGCCGCAUCCACCGCUCCUCGACACGAAGGCUGUAGUCACCGCCACCACGUUGCCAUUCGCCGCCAUAUGCGAACCAAGAGGCCCGCCUAGAUCCGAUCUACGCUGCGAGGAUUAGAAACUGAAGAAAUGGCGGUGGAGCAGGCCCUAGACCCAUCCACCUACUGGAUGAAAUCCAUGAUGACUGAGGAACGAAUUCUAGGCCCUUGUCGACCGCGGCCUGCUCGGACCCAAGUCCCUGCUGGAGUGGAAGGCAACCACGGGCUAGGAGUUCCCCACUGAGGACAAGACCAAAGCCAUCAUCUUUAUGGUGUUCUUCGAGCGAGGAUUCAGGAUCCCGAUAGCGGGAUUUCUUCUACGGACUGCUGGACUACUACAAGAUUGAGUUAGUGCAUCUCAACCCUAAAUCCAUCUUGGGCAUUGCAAUUUUCAUCCAUUUGUGUGAAGCAUUUCUCGAAAUCCCUCCCCCCCCCCCGAUUUCAAUCUGUGGAGAUAUCUGUACCAAUUGAAAGCAUGAUGACGAAGGGGAAACCAAGGGUGAUCGGCGGCUGUGGAUUUUUGCUACGGCGAAAGAGGGUCAUCGAGUACUUUGAUCUGAUGCUCAAGGAUUCGAACAUGGGGUGGCACGAGGAGUGGUUCCUUGUUGACAACCAAAAGCCCGAGCUGCCAUCUCGCGUCGGGUAUGCGCCUGUGACAAGGCCGGAAUGGUCGAACCAGCUGACCUCUGAGUAGAUGGUCCAGGUCAACUAGCUGCUAAAGGAGAUCACCGACCUAAAGAGACGUGGGCUCACAACAGGAGCUAUGGGUAUCAAUUUUUGCAGAAGGUUGACGCAGCCGAUCAAGGAUAGGGUCCAUCCGACAUACGAAUACUCGGGUCUGCUGUAUCCGACCCGAGAAGUACAAUGAAUGGUUACUCGGGAAGAGGUUGCUGCUUGGGUCUGCAAGUUCUUUGGUGGUGUCAUAAAGAACAAGCGCUGUCCCAAGGCGUACUCCCUCAUGAGGCCGGCCAAUCCAGUAAGUUCUUGUUUCGGUUCAUGACAUUCCUGGUUUAGUUUGUGUUGCGCUUACCUGACUUGAUCCUGUUGAUUGACCAAAGCUACGAGUGUGAAUUCUUCUGUCUAGCGUGGCUCCCUAGAAGCACUGAGCAACAAUGGCCCAAGCUUCGUCCAUCCACCGAGGCCGACCAACUACCAGUGCCCUUGACUGGGAGUCAGACUCCUCCUUCGAUGGCCUCGAUGAGGACGUGCCAGUCCAAGGUAGCAGUAUGGAGGCGGGGAGCGCUGCUUCUGUUGGGUGAUGGACGCGCUAGGCUAUGCGGAAGGUGAUGGAGUCCAAGGAGCCAGAGGCAAAGAAGAAGAAGUGGAAGAAGAAGGCAGCUGCAAAGACCAAGGCCUCGGCUACGGUAUCUGCCUCUCCGGCUAAGGCCUCGUUUGGGGUGGUGAGCAAUUACUCCGAGUUGCCCAGCUCCGCCGCAAAAAGGAAGAAGGUCGAGCUCCUUGAGACAAGAGCUGCCGACGUGGAAAAGGUCAAGGAGUGGCUGAAGAUGGAAAUCCAUGGGGGAAUGCAGAAGGAGCCGACCCUGCCACCGCCAGCGCCUCUCCGCCCAAAGUUCCAAGUGAGGAAGAGCAUGAUGUGAGUAUCUUCACAACAUCAUUUGUUGUUGAAAACUUAUCUGUAUGUUGCGUUGCUUUAUCUCUGUGUCCCGCCAUCUGAGCAGGGCUGUGAUGGAGGACGAGCCAAACCCACAGGAUGCUGGUGUCGAAAGCUAGGCAGAGGGUCAGAUGUCUGAUGCACCCCAAGGGGUUGCAUCGGCAUCUGCAGCUCAGGUCGACGGUGAAAGUGGCUUAGUGAUGGAGCCUGAGAGGCUUGAGCAGCAGUCGCCCCUGUGCCAAGACAUUGCCAAAGAUGCUGCAGUUGCCACGCCCGAUGACACGGAUGCCAACGUCGAGGUCCAGAUGGAGGAAGACCCUAGGGAGGUGCCGGUUGAUGCUGGGGCGGUGAGCCAUAAGGCCAACAUCAACGCCCACAAAGAAGAUGAUCCCUCCAUGUUGGACUUCUUUGGGACAGUUCUAGUGCAGGAGGCUGCUGAGGACAAGAGAGACCUUGCCGAGCUGAAGCAGGCUUCUAGCAAGGUCGCGGAGCUAUUAUACAUAAGUUAGCCGACUUGAUUUGAUUUAAUCGUCGUUCCUAGUUUCCUGCUCUGAUUAGUUGGGAUGAUUCUUGCCUAGAACCUGGUUGAGUGUGAGCACAACAGGGCAGACGCCAUCCAUUGCGCAGAGGAGUAUGGUCUCAAGACCGAGCGCCUAGAGGCUGAGCUCAGGAAGGCUUAGGAGGAUGCCGCAGAGUAAAUCUGACAAAAAGAUCGGGAGAUUGAGGACCAGAAAAAGAUAACCAAGGACAUCCAGAGCUUCCUCGACGCCAUGUAGAAUGGUAACGGCUUCGAUCCUUGUUGUGAGUCCAGAUCCUCUAGAUGCGACCAGUGCCUGUUCUUGAAUCUCAUUGCUUUGCAGAUGCUUAGAAGAAAGAAGAGAGCCUCAAGAGAGACCUCAAAGAGUGCAAAGUAGCCAACACCUAACUCUAGCAAGAUCAUGAUAUUGCCAUGCACCGUGAGCAUGCCGUGUCGCAAAAACUUUCCUAUGAGGCCGACUUGCACAAGAAUAUGGACCGGUGCUUGAUUGCAGCGAUGCAUAGUCUUCAGCAUGAUCAGGUGGUGAUUGCAGGGCUAGAGGUGAAGUUGGAGGACUUGAGGUCGAUCGUAGGUUACGUGAUGGACAUGAUCUAGCCCGAGGCCAACCCUGACGAGCCAACGUUGCUACUAGACCGCCUGAAGAGUGCGCCAAGUCAGAUGAAGGCCUUGAUGAAGGAGAACGCCGUGGAGUGCGCCUGAAGAUGCACUUCCCCCUGCUGGCCGUGGAGCAUGUUGGAAUGGGUGUUGCCGAGGAUUUUAAUGCUGAUAACCUCCCGGAGGUAGCCAAGCAAUAUCAACAACUUGCGGAGGACGUAGUUAAGGAACUGGACCUAUAAUGAAAAAACUAUAAAAUGUAUCAAUCUGUGCCGUGGGGUAAGAAAACUUAUUGAUUAAGUUAUGUAAAAGCAAAACUCCUUCCCUUCCUUGGUAUGUUUGAUAGGACACCGUGUGGCCUAGGCUUGUAGCCGCUAAGUGCCUAGCCUUGCUUGGCCAGCACUCUACUGAGAGCGGAUCUCGAGCUUGUAGAGGGCGCGAACACAAUGUUAUCUAGGUUUCGCAUGGUAGGACACCGUCCACACGAGUUAGUCGCACACCCUUGAGAGGGGUAGGAGAAAAGUUGAGACCCGGAGGUUGGAGCAUAGCGGGGGAAGCCCCUGAGCAUAAAGGUAAGGGUGUGGUCCAUCGAACAGGUCGGAUAGCCCCCAAGCUUGGCUAAGAAAGUGAGAAGGUAGUAGGUAUGCAAAGAACCUCUGGAGUUUUAUUUAUUUAAUAUGAGAAAGUUGAAAGAGUACAUAGCUUUUAUAUCCUAGGGGUAGAAGCGUUGUAGGUGUUGGAUGUUCCAUGGGUUGGGGACGCCUGAACCAUCCGCUCACUGCAGCCAAUAUGUACUGGGUUGAAUGACCUCUUUGAUGAUGAAGGAGCCCUCCUAGGGGGCCGAUAGCUUGUGCAUGUCUUUGGUGGACUGGAUCCAGCAGAGCACCAGGUCGCCAACAUUGUACGAGCGUUCCUAGACGUUCUUGUCAUGAUAGCGUCGAAUCUGCUGUUCAUGCUGCGCGUGCUGGAUGAGAGCUACCACGCGAUCUUCUUCUAGGUUGUCAAUGUCGACCUACCGACUCUUUUCUGCUUGCCCUUCCUCGUAGUAUUGAAUCCGUGGGGCACCAAAGGCUACAUCUAUUGAUAGUACAACCUCUGAGCCAUAGACGAGGAAGAAUGGGGUGUAGCUAGUGGCCCGACUCUUUUGGGUGCGGAGACCCCAAACGACUUGGGGUAGCUCGCGGAGCCACUUGGUAGCAUACUUGGAUGCGUCAUCAAAGAUGCGAGACUUGAGGGAUUGGAGGACCAUCCCAUUCGCAUAUUUGAUCUGGCCGUUGCAUCAUGGGUGAGCUACUGAGUAGUAUAUGUCGAUGAGGUUGUCCUGGCAAAAAUCCUAGAACUCGAAUCCUGUGAAUUGUUUUCCCAGGUUAGUUAUGAUCUUGUUGGGGACCCUGAAGCGGUGUGUGAGCUCUUCGACGAAUUGAGCUGCUUUGGCCAACUAUGCUAGUGAUAGCCUUGACUUCGAUCCACUUGGUGAAUUUGUCAACUGCCACGAAGAUAUGGGUGUAUCCACUCGGAGUAGUCUUGAAAGAGCCGACCAUAUCCAGCCCCCAACAUACGAAGGGCUAGGAUGGUAGGAUGGUACACAAGGGCUUGCGCUGGUAGGUGCUGCUGCUUGAAGAAAAAUUAGCACCCUUUACACCUCUAGACAAGCUCCUUUGCAUCGGCAAUAGCAGUCGGCCAGUAAAAGCUAGAGUGGAAUGCUUUCCCGACCAGAUUGCCCGAGGCGGCAUGGUUCCCGCACGAACCCUAGUGGAUUUCGUGGAGGAGUUCGAGGUCUUCAUUGCGGAGGAUGUACUUCAUCAAAAUGCUGGUAGAUGCGACCUUCCUGUACAACUUCUUACUGAUCACAAUGUAGUUGGUGCUGCGUCGUGCAAGCUUUUCGUGCUCGACUUUGUCCUCUGUGGACAUGUUGUUGGUGAUGAAUACGAUGAAAGGUGCGUGCUAGUCUUCCUCCACCUCGAUCAUCAGGACAUCAGUGGACGCUGGGUCAGCCUGAGCCUGGGCGUUGCUGUAAGCUUGGUAUGGGUCCAUGAUCUUAAUGGAUGGUUUUCUCAAGUCCUGGACGAACACGCCGACCAGGACUUGGGCAUGUUACGAGCCGAGCUUGGAUAGGAUGGCGGCGGCGACGUUGUGUUCCCAGGGGACGUGAUGGAAUUCGAGACCAUCGAAGUGAACCUCAAGUUUGCGAACCUCGGUGUAGUAGGCGUCUAUGGUUUCCUUGGUGCACUCCCAGGACUUGUUGACCUGCUCGAUGACAACCUUGGAGUCGCCAAACGCGAGGAUGCGUUUAAUGCCGAGCGAGGUGGUGAUGCGGAGCCCGUGUAUGAGGGCCUCGUACUCGGCACCGUUGUUGGUGGCCUUGUAGUGGAUUUGGAGGAUGUACUUGAGCUUCUUGCCUUUCAAGGACAUGAAGAGGACCCCCGUGCUAGCUCCUUCGAGGUUGAGGGCGCUGUCGAACUACAUCGUCUAGUGCUCCAGCCUCUCCAGGGAGGGCGGCUCUUGGAUCUCAGUCCAUUCAGCAAGGAAGUCGGCCGGGAUCUAGGACUUGAUCGCAUGACGUGGGCAGAAGUCAAUGUCGAAUUCGCCGAGCUCCAUGGACCAUUUGACGACUUGGCCAUGGACAUCCCUGUUGUGCGGGAUUUCGCCGAUUGGGUAAGAGGGGACCACUUAGAUCUUGUGCGCUUGGAAGUAGUGACUCAGCUUACGGGAGGUGAUCAGGAUUGCAUAGAACAAUUUCUAGACCUACGUGUAGCAGACUUUGGAGUCACUCGGGACCUUUGCUGAUGUAAUAUACCGACCUUUGCACCAUGUAGCGUGACCGGGUUCCUUGCAUUCUACGACCAGCACCAUGCUCACGACAUGUGUUGUCGCAGAGAUGUACAACUGCAAUGUUUCUUGGUCGGCUGGGGCCAUCAAGACGGGAGGGGUGGAGAGGAAUGUUUUGAGUUCCUCGAGGGCUUUGCAGGCCUCAUCAUCCCACUCGAACUUGUCCGCCUUCUUGAGAAGCCUGAAGAAGGGGAGUCCCUUUUCGCCGAUCUUGCUGAUGAAGUGGCUAAGGGCUGCCAUCACGGCUGUGAGCUUCAUGACAUCCUUCUUGCUAGGCGGCUAUGCCAUGUUCCUGAUGGCAUCCACUUUGACAGGGUUGGCUUCGAUGCCGCGUUGGCUGACCAUGAAGCAUAGGAGCUUUCUGAACGGGAUACCGAAGACACAUUUGCGCGGGUUGAGUUUCCAUCGGUAGGCCUGGAGGACGUUGAAGGUUUGGUGAGGUCGGCAAUGAAGUUCUCUUCGUCUUUGGUCUUAACGACUAUGUCGUCGAUGUAGGCCUCUAUGUUUUUGCCAAGUUAUUUCUUGAGGCAACCCUGGAUUGCCUCCUGGUAGGUGGCGCUAGCAUUUUUUAACCCAAAGGUCAUGGUGUUGUAUCAGUAGAUGCCGUACGGCAUUAUGAACACAGUUCUAUCUUGGUCGGUGGGGUUGAGGGUGAUCUAGUGAUUGCUCGAGUAGCAAUCGAGGAAGCACAGCAGGGUGCAGCCGGCUGUGGAGUCCACAAUUUGCUCGAUGCAAGGAAGAGGGAAGGGGUCUUUAGGGCAGUGCCUGUUGAAUCGGUGUAGUCGAUACACAUUCUCCAUUCAUCGGUUUUCUAUUUUACAACGACUGGAUUUGCUAACCAGUCGGGGUGCUUACAUUCACGGAUGAAACGGGCAGCUAUGAGCUUCUUUAUUUCUACCCUAAUGGCCUCCUUGUGAUUUUGAGCGAAACGACAAAGCUUCUGCUUGACCAGCCUUGUUGUCUUGGUCAGCUCCAAGGAGUGCUCAACCAGUUCCUGUGGGACUCUGGGCAUAUCGGAUGGUUUCCACGCAAAUAUGUCCGAGUAGUCUCGAAGGAAGCUGGUGAGCGCAUCUUCCUAUUUGGGGGUGAGGCUAGCCCCAAUGAGGGCCGUCUUGGUGGGGUCUUAUAGGCCGAGGCUGAUCUUCUUGACUUGCAAGUUGGGCUGUAGCACCGUGGGCGUUGGGUCCACCUCUAGGAUCGUCAGCUGACUUUGGUCCACUUCUUGGACUCGGUGAGAAUCAUGGUGGCGUUGGCCGAGUACUCCAGGGUCUCGACAAGCUGCACGGCUUCUGUGUCGCACUUGUAGGAUGUUUCAACAUCACUGAAGAUGGAGAGCACACCAUUUGGAGCCGGCAUCUUGAGGAUGAGGUAGGUAUGGUUGGGGAUCAUCAUGACCCUCACCAGCAUUGGCCUGCCAAAGAUGGCAUGGUAGAAGGUCUUGAAGUUGGCAACCUCGAAGGUGAGGUGCUUGCUGCGGUAGUUGUCAGGGGUGCCGAACGUGACCGGCAGGUUGACUCUCCUGAUAGGAUAGGAUCCUUUGCUGGGUACUAUGCCGUAAAAUGGGUCUUCCAGGGAAGGAGCCACUCAAAGUUUAAGUCCAUGCGCUUUAAGGUCUCAGUGAAGAUGAUGUUGAGGCUGCUGCUGCUGCCAUAGAUCAGCACCUUGCAGAGGACUUUGUUUAUGGUAGGGCGUACCACCAGCGGGUUAGACCCGGGGGUCCAGGAUGUACACCAGUGACCUUUCCCGGAGAAUGUUAUGGGCAUCUCCAACUAGUGCAGAUACUGGACUAGUAUGACGGAGAUAAAGUGCACUUCCCGCCUUUGCAAUUUGUGCUUGUGAUUGCUGCAGAAAGCCUUAGGGCUGCCGAUGAUGAUGUUCACCUCCCACUCAGUGUGCUGGAACUCGCCGUUGUCAUUGCUGGCACCCUGGUUGGCAUCAGGGUUGCCCUGGUCACGGUGCUCUUCUCUGUGUUUGUCGUUGCGGUCGUUACGGUGGCGGUUGUCACGACGGUUAUCUUCCUUGCGGUAGUCAUUCUGACAAGGCCACUUGUAUUCCACCGGGCACCAAGCUCUUUCUUGAGGACCGUGCAGUCUCGAAGAUUGUGGCAUGCGUCCUUGUGGAAGGGGAACGGGGUGUUCAGUGUAUCAUCAAAUUCCUCCUGGAGCAAGGUUGUUUCCCUCCCAGGAUCGGCUUCGGUAGUGAGGACCUCAGGGGCCCUCUUCCGAGGUCAGGAUGGCUCCAGUCGGGGCUGGUGCUGGUUGUCUUGAUGGGUUGGCGGUUUGUCAUCAUUGUUGUGGCAAUUCUUGCCAUCCUGGAAUUGGACAUGCUCGGCCUCAUCUAUGUUGGCGUGAAGGUUGACAAUUUGCAUCAUGUGUCUGACUGUCUUGGGAGUGUCCUAGAACAUGGUGCGGAACAUCGAGUGGUUCUUGACGCUGGUGUGGAAGUACCAAAUGAUGUCGUGAUCUUCAACGCCGGCAAGCCUGUUGCGGUUGUCGAAGAAGUGGUUAACGUACUUGUGGAGAGUUUCGUUCUUCCGCUGGCCGACUUGGCUGAGGCUUUCUGUGUUUCCAGGUCGAGUGUAUGUAGCUUGAUAGUUCUAGGUGAAGGCUCUGGCGAUCUGUCCCCAUGUGUCGAUGCAGCCUCGCGGGAGGUUUUCAAGCCAUAGGCGAGCUGCGCUUCCUAUCACCACCAGAAAGUAGGUGCCCAUCUGGUCGUAGGUGCCGUGCACAGCCUUGACUGCAUUGUAGUAUGUCUUUAGCUGGAUCUUCGGGUCGGAGCGACCGUCGUACUUCUUGUUGAUGGCUGGCUUGAAGGUGCGUGGCCACUGGACAACCCUGAGGUGGGGCUGAAUGCGGCAAACCCGUCAAUGUCCAUGUCAUCAUCUUCCAUGAGGUGGUAGCAUACCGGUAGGGCCCUAGGGUGUGCACUGUUGUCAUGUUGGGGUGGGGCGCCGUAGCGACGGUCGUAAUCGUCGCGGCAGCACAACUCCUCAUCCCGGCGGUUGUGGGCCUCCUGCUCCACGUCACGGUUUGGCUGGUUGCCGACCCCUGGAGCGCCAAAGUCACGGUCGUACUUGGCACGCCGGUGGAGCUCUACCUCAUCCCACUCCUGGUGACGGUUGUUGAGCUCACCAAAAAGGUCACGGUGGUCGCGGAGGUUGUCGCGAAGGUCGUGGUCAGGUUGUCGACCAGGUCGACUGCGGCGUUCGCUGUCUCCUCAUCCAUCACGGCAACGGUUGUUAUGGUGGUGGUUAUCUGAAUUGGUGGCCAUCGUUGUCAGGGUGGUGGUUGUUGCUUUGGGAUUGGUCCACCUCCUCCUCUUGAAUGUGUUCCAGCCGACCUCCCCUGCGGCGGCCGUUAUUGGCUCGGCUGCGAUCGGACCUACUCUGAGUAGAUUGGCUUCGGGAGUGCCAGGUAGAUGUAGAUCUGGAGUGUGAUGAUCAGCUUCUUGAGUGUGUUGGGUCCUGGGCCUUUUUCUCAAUCUAGGAAUUAGCAACGUGGAUGCGCGCUCGGAUCCGCUGCAGUUGCUCCGAGUUUGGAAGAUUUUCCUGGUUGGCAAAAACAGUCCCCAAGUUGGCCUGAGGUGUGGCGAAGACAUCAUGACCGGCGUGUUUGAAGUGAGCCUGCAGAUUGCGGGCACAUAAGGGACGCCUGCAUCGACCUUCAGCACCACCCUUGAUCGCUGUUGACGUCGUCGUUAGGUGCCAGCAGGAUGGGCGGUGCACCGGCCGCUGCGGGGGUGGCAGGCGACUGAUGAACUUUCUCAGCUCGUUCCUGUUGGCAGUGCCUGCCGCAACCUCGAUUCCUCUUAUUGCGCCCUUCCUCCUGGGAGGAAGUUCCACCAUCAUGAGGAGGUUCGUCGACGGAGACAACGAAGACUUCCCGAUCUAGUGAUGUAGAGCUUCCGUCGUCGCCCUCGCCGUAAGGGUUUGGGGUUAGGACGAAGCGAGGGACUUGGAACUUGCCGCAGUCUUGAAACUGGGUGGGUUCGAUUGGUUCGUCAGAUUGGAUCUGGAAAGACUGGAUGAGUUUUUCAAAAAACACAGCAGCCGAGUUCUUAAUGCCGAAAGGGCGUGGGAAGAGCCCUGCGCCGACCUUCCGGGGUGUAGUGCCGCCUCGGAGAGGUUGAUGCACUCAGCAAUGGUGUUGCUGAUGCGAUCUAGCCCUGCGAUUAGAUCGGAGGGUGUGGAUGGGUGCGUUGCCCGCGAGGAUGCGCGGGAUUAUCUCUACGGGAGAGAUUCCCGACCUGCUGGGCAAGCGGCGUGAUGAUCCUCGGGUGAGACAUUGCCCCAUUGAUGCAGGUCCGACGGACGCCGAACUAGCGGCGGACACCGAGUCGGCAAUGGAGGCGGCGGAGUCGGAGUCCACCGGCAUGCUCCAAAAGCAGAGCUGGAUCAGAUUGGCGAGGAAGUCCUUCAUGCUCUUGGGGAAGAUGACGCCGGGGAGGGUUGCCAUCGAGCUUGCUAGGGAGGAUCUCACGAUCACCCCUACCGGCGCGCCAACUAUUGGAUUUAGUGACUGGCAGUCCACCAGUGGGUUACCUAGGUGGUAGAUUUGUAGGCAGGGAAGAUCGUAAGACCAAGAACUCGAAUAGUAAUAUAGCGACACAAGGUUUAGACAGGUUCAGGCCUCCGGAGAGUAAUACCCUACAUCCUGUGUUUUGUUGGAUUGUAUUACUAAUUACAGGUGCGAAGAGUUAACGUGCCCUCGGGGGCACCCCUGACCGCCUUAUAUAGGCUGACGAUCUAGGGUUACAGUAAGAUAGAAUCUAAUCCUAAUCGGUUGUUACAUGAAAAAUAAUCUGAGUCAGUUUACAACAAAUAUCCCGUGAUAUCCGGGCAGAAUCCGUUCGCUCGGCCUCCGGACUUGUGCUCCACGUAUCUUCAUGCCUUGGCCCGCACGGCGUGAUCAGGUGGGCCUACCUAUCAGGGCCGAUCAGUAUCAUGGUCGGUGGGGACCCAUGGGUACCCUUAUCCCUCAAUAGUGGUGGAUAAUUUUUAGGAAACAUAUAGAUCAAUGGCUAUGAUUAUUAGAGUCUACAUGAUUGAUAUGCCCGAAAGUUUGUGACUUUUGUGAGAAUUUUUAGGAAUUAUCUUUUCUCCUAGCACUUCUCGUGAGAACUAGUGCAAAGUCUUCAAUUGAAAAAAAUAAAGGCACCUAAAUAACAAUAAAAAAUGUUACUUAUUAUCUUCAUCUUAUUAUGAUAGAUUUUAGUUAGUAAUUAUUCCAUAAUAUUUUCAUCCAUAUUUAUAAUAUUUUUUCGCUUUGCAUCGCAGGUAUACUCUUGAAUUUGUUUAAUAGACUCUAAGUUUGUGCUAUAUCUUUUUCUAUAUAUUUUUAAAUGUUGACACACAUCAUGCAUAGAUACCUUGAUUGUUAUUUACUAUAUCAAGAGUGUCAUAAGUAGAGAAUUAGAAUUAUAUGUUGGUGGGUAUAUUUUAAUAAUGGAAUAUGUGUGUAAUUUAGAUGUAAAUUUAAUGGUUACUAUAAGUUAUUUUUUUAUAAAGUUUGUGGUGAGCAAUUUGGAAACAAAUUUAAGGGGUUAUUUUAAAUUAUUUUUUUAUAAUUGGCAUAAGUGGGUAAUUUAGAUAGAUAUUAGGGGUUACUUUAGUUUAUUUUAUAUAAGGGUAGAGGUGGAUAAUUGAGAUAAUGAUUUAGAGGUUACUUUAAGUUUUUUUUAUAAUGGCAGAGGUGGGUAAUUUUUUUUAAAAUAUAAUAGAUCCAAUGGCUAUGAUGAUUUGAGUCUACGAAUAGAUGGCUAGAUGUUUUGCUUUUUUUGAACUUUUAGAAUUCUCUCUUUUUCUAAAGUGUCCACUUAGGAUCCUAAAUGGCUUCAUUUAUGGAGGCUUCAAAAGAGACCUACAAUUAAUAAUAGUAAGGUAUACGUAUCUAAGUUGCAAUUGCAACUCACAUAAAAGUCUAGGGCAUACGGAACAUUACAUGCUCUGAUCAUCUUCAACAUCCACCCCUUUGGUCCAACAACAUAGGGGUUCCAUAUAUAUGUACUUUACCCCAUCUAUCACUGAACCAGUCUACGUAAAAUAGAAAUUUUGCAAACAUUCUACAAUUGAAAAUGCACAGGCAAGCAAUAAAAUAAGAUGUAUAAUGUAUCAUACAAUAACAUUGUAAAGUUGUGUUAAAAAAACUCAAAAAUUUGAUGGUAUUGGUAUUGGCUGAUCUUGUCGUGGUGAUCAUUAUGUCUAUCCCACGACUCCAACGUAAUUGAACUCCACAAUUUUAACAAUUUCCAUUACCUAAAUAUUUGCCCAAGCAGUUACCAAAAAUACAUUUAGAUAUAGUUGAAUAGCUAUUUAAAAUACCUUGGCAAAUAACAAUUGAAGUUUUGAGGACAGAUGCAACUCUUUUGAGAUUUGUAGGCGUCUAAUUAUUUUGUAUUUAAAACAAGAAGUGUGAGAUUUUAUAAAAUACUAUUAAGCUUCCAAAAAUUUAUAUAUUGUACCCUCCUCCAACACGAAAACUAUGUUAUUAUCAUUGACGAUUGGACUAUGGGAACCAUCACUACUGGAAAUCUGAGCAUUGGUCCUAACUCUUAGUACCGGUUGGUUUUUGACUCGGUACUACCCGUGACCCCCUUUAGUACCGGUUGGGAGUUCCAUUGGUACUAAAGGUCACCUAUUAGUAUCGGGUGGAGGCUCCACCCGGUACUAUUGUGCCUGAGGACCUUUAGUUCGGGUGAAGCCUCCACCCGGUACUAAUGGGUGAUCUUUAGUACCGGGUGGAGCUCCCAACCGGUACUAAAGGGGUCACGGGUACCUUAUCUCCUCGCGUUUCUCCUCUCCCCCUUAUCUCUUCUCUCUCAACCGGGUACCUUAUCUCUUCUUUUCUCUCACACUUAUCUCUUCCCCUUCUAUCUUCCCCUCCACGACACAACGCAUGUAGGUUGGGGGCACAACUUCGGCUGUCCGAGGCCCCGCGCGAGUGAGCAGGCUGGGGUAUGUCACACCCGGUUUCUAGACAAAACCGAAUGCAUAGCAUAUGUGUGCCAGGAUCCGUUCUCACACAUAUGUUGACUUCAUAAGUGAAUACAUCAAAGACAGUGUUCAAAAACGUAAAUAGAAUAGUAGGUACUUAUUACACUCUGAAAGGUAGACACGAAGAUCUUUAAUCGUUCACCGAUAACCUUAACACGCACACAUAGCGAAGCUUCUCCACAGGCUUGACUGGUGAACGCCCGCUUAGAACUCUUUGAAGUCAUCGAAGAACUCCGCGUCGUCACAAGCUUUUGAACAACAUUUGGGCAAGGGUGAGUACACUUAUGGUUGGUACUCAGCAAGUGGGAGAACAUGCAAGGCUUAACAAGGAGAGGCUCAAGCUUUAAGCGGUUAGCAUUUUAGUUGGUCAAAUUUUAAUUAGCAGCACCUAAAUACUAGGUGUAAGUUUAUACCAACCCACUUAAGCAUAAAGUAUUAGCAUUAUCCAAAAACCAAGGAACCAUGAUUUAUUUUCAUCUUUAAGUUCAAUUAUCAUGUGAGGGUUCAAGCCGCUCAUAACCGUGAGCACGGUUUAUAUAUCAGUUUACACUCUGUAGAGGUUGUACACUUUACCCACAACUCGUGUUCCUCGUGUCGCCCGGGUUUGCAAAGCCCUUAAACACUUCCUUUGGUGAGUGGCUGGGGGUCCACUACGAAGCCUUUACCAAGACACAUAGUUAACUAGUAGCACGCUAGAGUUUCAGUUGUAGCGAUGAGGGUCACAACCUGUUAAUGAGACAACACCUUAGCAAAUGCUACUACUCCGGAUCAUGCACCCAACACCUUCCCCCUCCUUGCCCUUUCGGUAAGGCCACCAGUUAACCACAUGCCUAAUUAAUUGGCUAAGAUUAGAGCCAUGUGAUGUUGUGGUUGUACUGUUUUCUUGGGUGGUUCUCCAUGUUCCAAUUAAAACAAGUAUUCUUGCAAUUAACCAGGUGUAGUAACAAAAAUAAAGUCAUGUUUAAGAUUCUCAAAAUUAUGACAUUUCCAUCCUAGAAGUAAGCAAUUAAGCAAUUCUACCCAACAAGAUUAAACCGGUGUUCAAGGAUCAGGAUUAAAAACUAGGUAAGUCCUUAAUAGGUAUUCCUAUCAAUUUAUGCACAUACAGGAAAUUAAUAAAGUGAUUAAUCACGAUAUUAUUGGGACGAAAAAGAAUAUGAAAGGGGAGAUAACCACUUGCCUUCCUAGGCAAACUGCGAGUACUCUUCUUCGAACGGCGGCUGCUCCUAAACUUGUCCUUCCGCGAAUGGCACGUCGUCUACACGAUCACACAAGAAAAACAAACAAUGAAUAAAACAGUACACCAAACAUGACCAAAAGCUUAAAACAAACUCCUAAAAAUAAUGUUCAUGUAGAGAUGGUCACGUGAGUGCGAGAAUCGCUGAAAUCGGAUUUAAAACGAUGAAGAUAUGGAGUAAACAAGUUUUAGGGACUAAAACAGAAUUAACUACAUAUAUACUUCAGGGGCUUGCAAAGAAGUUUCACAAGACUCUGCGAGCAGUGCUUGCAAAAAUAGAGAAACACAGGGUUAGAUAUGUAAAAGUUGCAAGCUCAGGUUAGAAUGAAAUAAUCUAAAGUUUCCAGGGGGUUUUCCACAAGAUUCGCAAGGCACAAGAAUAAAAGAAAGAUACAAGAGAGACAAGGGGGCAUAUAGCAAAACGUCCUUAUCCUAUUCUUCUUCCUCGUGCAUGCCCGCACAGGGAGGGACGGCGCACCACUGGUGGCGCUAGAACCGGGGCUUCACCGGCGCUUGGUGCGGCGGGGAGGGGGACCGGCGCGGGGGAGGGAGAAGAGAAAGGCGCAGAAGAGGAGCCUCACCGGCGGUGGCGAAGGGAAGGAAGUGGCCCGGUGGCGAACAGGAACCAGCGGCGGCGAAGCUUUGGGUGGCGGCGAUGCUCUAGUGCGAGAGGGUGGCGGGUGGGCAGCGAAACGGAAUGGGGAGCUCGGGUGGAGGCGAUUGGGGGUUUUAUAGGGCGCGAGGAGGAGUGUAGAGGGCGCCGGGGAGGGCCAACGAUCCGGCCGGCCAUUGAAGCUAGGCAUCGAAGGUGUAACGGGCGUCCGUUACUGGGAGGAUUUAAGGGGAAAGGGUGCUGCGGCGCGUGCGCGUGAAUAAUGGGGGCGGCACAUGCUUGAAGAGCUGCAGGGGGUGGGAAGGUGAAGGGGGCACCAUUCACGG